GCUUGCAGCCAUACCACCCUGAGCACGCCCAAUUUCGUCUGAUCUCGGGAGCUAAGCACAGUUGGGCUUGGUAAAUAUUUAUAAAUAUCUAAAUAUUAUUGAUGGUU
ensembl:rRNA 5S_rRNA 5S ribosomal RNA